rnacentral:lncRNA from 1 species
AUGAGAAAUGGUGGCUUCAGGGGAACCACAGAUUUGUAUCACUUGGUUACUGGACCAGGAAGCAACAAGCAUAUUUCUAACAGUGUAAACAGGCUGAGAGCAAGAGAUUCAACUGGAAAGUUAGCAUAUGCCAAAAAAAAAAGACAACAGCAAAAUGAUUCAAACUGUUUGAAAAAUUACUGUGGAGAUUUUUGUGGAAAAAUUAUUGUUGUAAGAAAAUGUAUAAGUCUCAUGGAUCUAUCCUGAGCUUUGGGAUCAGAGCCCUGAGUAUUGAGAGCCUAACCUGUGCCAGGUACCUGCUAGACACUGGGUGCAGAAUGCCUCAUAAAGCUGACAGAGCAGACUGUGAAACCUAUUCAUUGUGUGGCCUGUCCAAUGAAUUACAUUUGUUUCCAAGUUCUGAAAGAUGCUCUCAACAAGCACAAGCUGAGAAGACUGACACCGAGAGAAGUUGUGUGACCUGUCCAGUGUCUCAGAGCUAAUCCAAAGGAGAGCUGACACUGGAACCAAGGACUGCAUGACUCCUGAAACCAUACUCUCAAAUGCUGCAUUCCAUAUAAACAAUUCGCAUUGAAAAGUACUUGGCAAUUUACUAAUUGUGCAAGGUUUUUUAAAAUAAUAAAACUUAUAAGUACAUACA